GGGAAGGCGGCCGCAGAGGUGUUAAGUUGUAGCCUUAAUUAUGAAAUGAUAGAUGUUUCUCUUCCUA
rnacentral:tRNA from 2 species